GAUGAACGCUUCCGUGAGAUUUACUAUCUGUGAUUCCAGGGGCAGCGGAUGCCCUCAGGGGAUGCCGGCACACCGGCGAGCUGGUGACUAACACGUAUGGAAUCUACCCUUAACUGGGGAAUAGCCUUGAAAAAUCCACGGUAAUGCCCCAUACCAUCUUCAAAAGGCAUCUUUUCUGGAUGAAAGCAUCCUGGCGAUUAAAGAUGGACAUGCGCUCCAUUAUUCUUAUAGGUGAUAUAACCUCCUCACCGAGGCUCCCCAUGGAUAGCUGAUCUGAAACGAUGAUCACCCACAUUGGCACUGAAACACGAGCCAAACUCCUACUGCACGCAUCCCUGGGGAAUCUUGCUCAAUUGUCCAAAGCCAUAACCAGUCAUGCCCCAUGCAAGAUGAAAGCCCUACUGAUCCUAAACUGCUUUUAUUCCGCAACAAAAACUCUGUUUCCACAGACCAUGACCGUACCGAUUGAAUAAAGACCGGCCAACUCCGAGCCACCAUCCGCGGAAAUACCCGACGGUCCAACCAUUAUCCGGAUUCACUGGCUUUAAACGGUGCACAGGCCGCCAAGCUACCUCAGUGGUGAAAGCCUUCCGCUCAACCGGAGAAUUGCCAUUGAAACUACUUGGCUUGACAUGCAGUAAAGGUAGGCGGAAUGUAUCAUGUACCGGUGACAUGCAUAGAUAUGGUACAGAACACUGAUAGAGAAAGCAGCUACCCACACUGUAAGUGACGAUGAGGCAUGAAAGCAUGAGUAGCAAACAGGAUCAUAUACUGUGGUAGUCCAUACCGUAAACUUUGAACACUACAAGUUUAACUCUUACAGCUUAGCUCCGUAGCGAAAGCAUUAAGUGUUACACCUCGUGAGUACGGCAGCAAGGCUAAAACUCAUAGGAAUUGAUGGGGGCCCGCACAAGCGGAGGAGCAUGUGGUUAAUUAGAUGAUACGCGAGGAACGUUACCCGGGGUACAAUGCCAGGGACAGAUCUGGAAACAGAUUCUUCAUUAGGGACACAGCGUGAGGUGACGCAUGUCUGUUGUCAGGUAAAGCGAUGAGAUGCUUGGGUUAAGUCCUUUUAUGAGAGCAACCCCUGCGUUUAGGGCCAGCACUCUCAGGCGGGCAUUCUAAAGAAAUCGCCUACGUAAGUUGAGAGGAAGGAGGUGAUGACGUCAAGUCAUCAUGGCCUUUAUGCCGGGGUUACACACAUGCUACAAUGGUGGGUACAGAGGGAAGCCAGUUAGAUAACAAGGAGAUCAUUCCAAAAGCCCAUCACGGUUUUGAUUGGAGUCCGCAACUGGAUUCCAAGAAGCUGGAUUAGUUAGUAAUGUUGGAUCAGCAAGGUCAGGGCGAAUAGGUUGCUGGUCUUUGUACACAGCACCCGUCAAGCCAUGGAAGUCCGGAGUACAAGAAGCCGGUAUCUGUACAGGAGUGGAUGAGGGUAAGCUGUGGCAAAGGGGGCG
rnacentral:rRNA from 1 species